CAAACGACUCUCGGCAACGGAUAUCUCGGCUCACGCAUCGAUGAAGAACGUAGCAAAAUGCGAUACUUGGUGUGAAUUGCAGAAUCCCGUGAACCAUCGAGUUUUUGAACGCAAGUUGCGCCCGAAGCCAUUCGGCUGAGGGCACGUCUGCCUGGGCGUCACAC
rnacentral:rRNA from 1 species